GCGCAGGGAGGGGUAUUUAAUGUCAGCUCCUCUCGCGAGUUCCGUUACCUCUCAAAGCGCGUGCGCGAGGUCCUAUCUCCCUACCUCUUAAGCCAAUUGCGCAGGCGCGGAGGCUCGCUCCGUGCCGCGCUCUUGGCCGGAUCGAGCAUGAAUUAAAACGCCCGGGAUCGAGCAUGGAUUACAAGGGCAAGGCUAUAAAAGGCAGCGCCGGCGCGCGGCCUUCGCGUGCGCUUUCGGGGAAGAUGCUACAGAGGAAGAUACGCUUUGAAGACUAAUAUGCUGCAGGAUCUUAACUUUGCACAUACCCCUGAGAGGAGUUCCCCACAGCUAUUAGAAGAGACAUUUAGAUGUCACAAGCCGUUGUGUAUAUUGAUUGGUUGGCAAAGGAAUAUAUAUGCUUACAAAAAAAUUUGAAUUAUAAAAUAAAUAUUUUUGAGAUGCA